ACCCUUCACUGGAACAGCACGGGGAGCCCUUCAGGGGGCCACCCUGCCUCAGCAGCGAGCUCCCCUCCGUCCUCCCUGCUGCAGGCUCUCUGUUGGGCUCGGCCAGUGGGGAUACUGCCUGAGGAUCAGAGGGGAGGGGACGUGAAGCUCUCUCUCUGGCUCCAGUGUUGCGACAGGAGGACAGGAUGGGGCGAUUCCAGGUUCAGCUGUGGAAGCCCUGGUCCGGGGUACUCUUCCCCAGCAGACCAGUGCGGGCUGGCCAUUUGGGCUCAUGUGUCACUCCUUUUCUUCCCCUUUACACUUGCAGCCCUUCCGAUGCCUUUCUGUUCACUUGUCCACAUUCACCUCUCUGUUUCCUUGACUGGGCCUUGAGUGACCUACCACAAUAGCGGAGCUGACCAAACGCAGAGUGCCUGUAUUUCAACAUUCAGGAGGCUGACUCUGCAAUCCCAAGACCCUUCGAGAAGGUGGAGACCAAGUUGGAGAACCUCCCACCUCCUCCAGGCUUCUGAGGCUCUUCACCUUUAAGAUGAAGCAAAGCCAGACUCUGGCAACCACUGGGUGCUGAGGGCUCGGGGGUCAGAGGGGUCUGAGAGGCCCCGUCCAGGCUGCAGCCAGCCAAGCCAGGCUCUUCUGCCCUUUCCAAGACCCAGAGAAGGUCUGGACCGAGAGACACUGCUGCUACCCAAGGGAAAGGCGCCUGAGGGAAGGGACUGCCGAGACCUUCCUGCAGGAGACAACGAGGGCUCUCUCCAGCUCUGCGGGACAGAAGAGCAGCCAGGGACAGGGGUGCUGACCCGGCAGUUCCAGGUCUUAGUCAUUUCCACGCCCCAGCAGAAUGGCCCGCAGCACCCCGUAAGUGUUUAUUGGAUCAAAUUCGGUCUGCACUUGGUGCAGCUUCUCAGCAACUCUCCCAACUGGAAAGCACUUUGCCAUUCUGUUUCAGAGCCAACACACACACCGUCAUUUCUUUUAGCAACCUUCUGGGACUUGGACGAGCUUGGAGGAAUCCACGAGCAUUAGGGAGCCCUGGAGGAGGGGUGAAGGUUCAGGAAAGCAGCCAGGACCCAGCCGCGUCUGCCGGCCGGUACCCAGCGAGCCAGUCCAUCCGACACGCGUGGCACAGACACCGUCGUGGGUGAGACCAACUCAACAUCUUAGACGCGAGAGGGUGUGGGACGAGUUCCCCUUCCAACGAGUAAAUUGGCAGGGCCACUAAUUAAGUUGAAAGGAACGUCUGAGUCACGCUUCCUGGCCCGCUGUCUCCCUCUUUCCGGUCUCCCACUUAUCUGCGAGGAGCCCACUUCUCCCUGGGAAAACAGUGUGGUAACACAUUUGACACUAACGCAGACGCUAAUGAUCUCAAGUUGCUCCAACCAAAUCUGAGGAGUUUUGCUGUGAUACAAAUAAAUAUGUGCUUUGGGCUGUGAUUUUUUUUUCCAGCUAAGCUAUUUGGAGUCCCACACAUUUGUUUUCUCCCUUUUUCUCUCUAAAUCACAAGGGUUUUCAGAAAUACAGGGUGUGCAUCUUGGGAAAGCGGAUGAUGUAGGAAUGUAGGGAACCCUAAGUCGCCCGAGUCCUGUGGAAUAGGAACGUCAUGGCCAUUUUUCUCACAGGCAAAUGGACUGUAAACUUUCUCAAUACUUGGUUUCACAACACGCAUUGCAAAUGGGACCUCCGUUUGGUUUUGGAAUUGAGUGUCAAACAGUUUUUUUACAUGAAACAAU
rnacentral:lncRNA from 1 species